rnacentral:rRNA from 1 species
UACAAAAUGACUCUCGGCAACGGAUAUCUCGGCUCUUGCAUCGAUGAAGAACGUAGCGAAAUGCGAUACUUGGUGUGAAUUGCAGAAUCCCGUGAACCAUCGAGUCUUUGAACGCAAGUUGCGCCCGAAGCCAUUAGGCUGAGGGCACGCCUGCCUGGGUGUCAC